AACGCAAAUUGCGCUUCCUGGCAUCCCGGGAAGUAUGCCUGUUUGAGGGUCAGUGUUAAUAAAAAAUCGGUUUGGUUGCAAAUUGUGACGUCUCCGGAGUUUGGGCUAUCUUAAUUUUUUUGGUUAAGAGGCUUAAAAUUGACCUUUUUUGCGCAUUUUUAGACGUACAUAAAUUUUUUUUUAUUCGUCUAUUCUUAAUGCCAAAAUCUUAUUAGAUGCGAUCACAUCGUGUGGUUUCGUGUCCAUAAUUUUCAUGAUUUGACCUCAAAUCAGGUAGGAGUACCCGCUGAACUUAA
rnacentral:misc_RNA from 1 species